rnacentral:ribozyme from 13 species
CGAGGAAAAUCAGGAAAAAAGGAGAGAAGGGAGCAAGUUAUUUUUUUGUUUGUUAAAAGCAUAUUUAGAGACUCCCUCUUCUCCUUUUCUGGCUUCUCUUUCUCCU